rnacentral:tRNA from 1 species
GUGGUUGUGGCUCAGUGGUAGAGUGCUUGCCUAGCAUGCAUGAGGCACUGGAUUCAAUCCUCGGCACCACA